rnacentral:tRNA from 1 species
GGGGCUGUAGCUUAACGGGUAAAGCGGCGGUCUUUUAAAUCGCAAACUCAGGGUUCGAGUCCCUGCGGCCUCA